rnacentral:tRNA from 1 species
GGCCUAUUAGCUCAGUGGUUAGAGCGUCACUCUUAUAAAGUGUGCGUGCCGGGUUCGAUUCCUGGAUAGGCCA